ACACGCUUUGGGUCCAUGCAUUUCUCUAAUCGAGCUGUAACACUUGCUGCUGCGGUCCAUGGCUCCAUUCCUUGAAGCCCACGAGACCAGGAACCCUUGGAUUGAGAAAAAACCUUCAAUUGGGAGGAUACUUCUUAUCUCAUUUCUAGGGGCCCAUCCGGGAUUUCUCCACAGCAGAUUUGUGGCUCUUCACGAAGAUAAAUAUUUAUCACCAAACAAUGUAAACUUCCCACAUGAC
ensembl:lncRNA LINC02100 long intergenic non-protein coding RNA 2100